GACGAACGCUGGCGGCGUGCUUAACACAUGAAAGUCGAACGAAGUGGCGAACGGGUGAGUAACGCGUAAUCAACCUGCCCUUCAGAGGGGGACAACAGUUGGAAACGACUGCUAAUACCGCAUACUGCAGGAGGGGAUUGCGUCUGAUUAGCUAGUUGGAGGGGUGACGGCCCACCAAGGCGAUCAUCAGUAGCCGGUCUGAGAGGAUGAACGGCAACAGGUGGACGGAGACACUGCACAGACUCGUACGGGAGGCAGCAGUGGGGAAGCUUCCGCAAUGGACGAAAGACUGACGGAGCAACGCCGCGGGAGGGAUGACGGCCUUCGGGUUGUAAAGCUCUGUUAAUCGGGACGCGGUACCGGAAUAGAAAGACAAGGCUAACUACGUGCCAGCCGCCGCGGUAGUAC
rnacentral:rRNA from 1 species